rnacentral:rRNA from 1 species
AGAGUUUGAUCAUGGCUCAGAUUGAACGCUGGCGGCAGGCCUAACACAUGCAAGUCGAACGGUAACAGGAAGAAGCUUGCUUCUUUGCUGACGAGUGGCGGACGGGUGAGUAAUGUCUGGGAAACUGCCUGAUGGAGGGGGAUAACUACUGGAAACGGUAGCUAAUACCGCAUAACGUCGCAAGACCAAAGAGGGGGACCUUCGGGCCUCUUGCCAUCGGAUGUGCCCAGAUGGGAUUAGCUAGUAGGUGGGGUAACGGCUCACCUAGGCGACGAUCCCUAGCUGGUCUGAGAGGAUGACCAGCCACACUGGAACUGAGACACGGUCCAGACUCCUACGGGAGGCAGCAGUGGGGAAUAUUGCACAAUGGGCGCAAGCCUGAUGCAGCCAUGCCGCGUGUAUGAAGAAGGCCUUCGGGUUGUAAAGUACUUUCAGCGGGGAGGAAGGGAGUAAAGUUAAUACCUUUGCUCAUUGACGUUACCCGCAGAAGAAGCACCGGCUAACUCCGUGCCAGCAGCCGCGGUAAUACGGAGGGUGCAAGCGUUAAUCGGAAUUACUGGGCGUAAAGCGCACGCAGGCGGUUUGUUAAGUCAGAUGUGAAAUCCCCGGGCUCAACCUGGGAACUGCAUCUGAUACUGGCAAGCUUGAGUCUCGUAGAGGGGGGUAGAAUUCCAGGUGUAGCGGUGAAAUGCGUAGAGAUCUGGAGGAAUACCGGUGGCGAAGGCGGCCCCCUGGACGAAGACUGACGCUCAGGUGCGAAAGCGUGGGGAGCAAACAGGAUUAGAUACCCUGGUAGUCCACGCCGUAAACGAUGUCGACUUGGAGGUUGUGCCCUUGAGGCGUGGCUUCCGGAGCUAACGCGUUAAGUCGACCGCCUGGGGAGUACGGCCGCAAGGUUAAAACUCAAAUGAAUUGACGGGGGCCCGCACAAGCGGUGGAGCAUGUGGUUUAAUUCGAUGCAACGCGAAGAACCUUACCUGGUCUUGACAUCCACGGAAGUUUUCAGAGAUGAGAAUGUGCCUUCGGGAACCGUGAGACAGGUGCUGCAUGGCUGUCGUCAGCUCGUGUUGUGAAAUGUUGGGUUAAGUCCCGCAACGAGCGCAACCCUUAUCCUUUGUUGCCAGCGGUCCGGCCGGGAACUCAAAGGAGACUGCCAGUGAUAAACUGGAGGAAGGUGGGGAUGACGUCAAGUCAUCAUGCCCCUUACGACCAGGGCUACACACGUGCUACAAUGGCGCAUACAAAGAGAAGCGACCUCGCGAGAGCAAGCGGACCUCAUAAAGUGCGUCGUAGUCCGGAUUGGAGUCUGCAACUCGACUCCAUGAAGUCGGAAUCGCUAGUAAUCGUGGAUCAGAAUGCCACGGUGAAUACGUUCCCGGGCCUUGUACACACCGCCCGUCACACCAUGGGAGUGGGUUGCAAAAGAAGUAGGUAGCUUAACCUUCGGGAGGGCGCUUACCACUUUGUGAUUCAUGACUGGGGUGAAGUCGUAACAAGGUAACCGUAGGGGAGCCUGCGGUUG